rnacentral:rRNA from 1 species
AUUGAACGCUGGCGGCAGGCCUAACACAUGCAAGUCGAGCGAGCGGCGGACGGGUGAGUAAUGUCUGGGAAACUGCCUGAUGGAGGGGGAUAACUACUGGAAACGGUCGCUAAUACCGCAUACCAUCAGAUGUGCCCCGAUGGGAUUAGCGAUGAGGUGGGUUAACGGCUCACCUAGGCGACGAUCCCUAGCUGGUCUGAGAGGAGGACCAGCCACACUGGAACUGAGACACGGGCCAGACUCCUACGGGAGGCAGCAGUGGGGAAUAUUGCACAAUGGGCGCAAGCCUGAUGCAGCCAUGCCGCGGGGGUGAAGAAGGCCUUCGGGUUGUAAAGAACUUUCAGCGGGGAGGCGUUACCCGCAGAAGAAGCACCGGCUAACUCCGUGCCAGCAGCCGCGGUAAUAC